CGCACAAACCCUUUAAAUGCUGUCUCCGCAACGUCGUUCUUAUUAAGCAGGUGUAUUAUUUAGCAGCCCCGCUGGAGGCCGUUAAUAGCUCCCCAGGCUGUGCGAGGAAGGGUACAGCUUGCUCAUCACCCGCACCCUGCGACUCUCCUUGUGUCAGUGACUCCGGGACCCCCAGCUGUGAUUGCCCACCCGCUCACCAGGACUGCAGAAAAGAAGCUGCCUACAUCCAGCAAGCGCUUUCAUGCGACAGCUUAAAGGUCUAUCACGUGGAAGGAGAC